rnacentral:tRNA from 3 species
UCCCCGGUAGCUCAAUGGUAGAGCAUUCGGCUGUUAACCGAAGGGUUGCUAGUUCGAAUCUAGCCCGGGGAGCCA